ACCGAUUCAAGUAGGGCAGCGACGGCGGCGGCCGCCACCCGUGACGAGCGCUGGCGGAGAUCUUAUCGGCAGGAGGAAGUACUGAGCUGGGGCUGCUCUUCUCUGAAGCCGCCGGCUUUGCUAGUGUAACUGCAGAGCAAGGAGAGGGGCCCCAGCGUUUUCAUGGUUCCUGUGUCACGACUAGGAAUUUCUGAGAGCUCUUCCAACUCAACGUUGUCAGCUUUGCUGCUUCUGAGAAGAAAUGGCCGGGCAAGAAAUCUGAAAGGGCAAAGUCACCCUUUUAUCUUGUAACCAAAAUUUGCCCAAAUGGUCUUUUUUGGAGAAAUACACUCAACAGAGCAAUACAAAAUACACAGUCCCGGAGAUGCUGCAUUAUCAAGAUCUUGGUUUGGAGCUCAGUUUAUGUUUUUAAGCAUUAUUUAGUCAUCAUAAUGUCAAUGUGCCUCACACCAAGAUUCAGACAGAUUUCAUAAACUGGUUCUUUAAUUCUAAGACUAACUGACAAGGUUCAGAUAUUCAGAGUAAUCUUCUGCCAGCAAUCUGGGCACAUUUCUGUUCAGGUUUCCAAAAUGAUCGAUUUUGCUCACUGACUUUUUUCAGAGGCAGUGAUAAAUACCAUUACAUAAGAGGAACUGGGGCAGCUUGACUUUUGCUUUGCUGAAGAACUUCAGGUAAAAGGAAAACCCUACAUAUUCCUGGCAAUCACAUUCAGUAGGUGCCAUUCUUUUAAGUAAUUUGUAAGGUCAUUCCUAGCAUACAGCUUGGAGGCUACUGUGGUUUCAGAAACAAACACAUUACUAUAUAUCCAAGGUCACAUAUCAUGUGCUCUGUGACAGUUGUGUUGUUAAGCCAAUCUCCUGGCUGAAUUGUGCUUCUGAGAAAUACCUCCCAGCCAUCUUUGCUUUUUCUUUAACACGUUUUCCUUGAAAAGUUCACGUGCAUGCAUACAUACACAAAUAGAUGGAGGUUUGACAGAAACAGUACUUUCUGGCUUUGUGGCCUGAAAGUAAUCCAUAAGUACACCUUACAGUACACAAUCUCAUACAAAUACUCAGUUUUAAUUUAUAUGCCCAGACAGCAGUCUGGGAUACUGACCCUUGAAUGUGACAUUCUUCUGAUAAAAUGGUCUCCUAGUGUAAAGUAGAUUAUGCUUGGUUUGUGUUCUCAGAGGAUCAGAGAUAUGCUCUAUGGAAAAGCAAGAUAUUUCUUCUAUUCCCAGAGCUCCACUCAGUAGUCAAUUGCUUUGAAGUAUAACUUAUGAUACUAAGCCACCCUGGUGACAGAGCUGCGAGAUGCUAAUGCCUAGGACAGGCCAUAUUGCUCCCAAAGGAACAUGACCAGCUAGGUUUUUCGGUACUCAUGUGCUCAGAUUCCUGGAAGAUUUUCCAACAACAGUAACUUAUAAAUUGGAUUUUACCAUCAGAACCUAGUGAAAGAACCACCUAACUGCCUCAGCUCAAGCUGGGUCUUUGGAGUUCAGUUAUUCUUCAAGAUAUACCUUUUUCCCCUCCAAAUUACUGCAAGACCACAAACAUAGCUUGGCCUUGAAUUUAUUUAAUUCAUUAUUCAUUUCACCACCCACUCAUAGUAGCUCAACUGCUGCCACAACCAAACAGUGACAUAAGAGCAAGACCAGACAUUUUUCCAGUACCAUUUACUUAGAUCUGUUUAGCAUAGAUCACUGUAAAAGCACAGCCUCAUUCGGAAAGCUCUUCAGUGUCCUUGUGGUGUGGGAUCAUGAAUGAGAAGGGUCCUUGGCACUGACAGAACAUUUGAUAUGCGGCAGGGUCAGUAGACAACACCAGAGAGGCAAGCCAGAUAAUAUAGUGUAGGAAGCAAUUCCAGAAAAGGAGAAAAGCUUGCUAACAUAAUUGGGAAGAAGAACAGAAAAUAGAAACCUUAGAAGAGUCACUGUAUGAAAAGUCAACAUUGCAAAAUCUCAUGCAAACUAGGUAUUAAUCAGAGUCAUUUGAUUUAAUAAAUUGUCCUCAGUGAGAGCCUACUAGAAAUUGCACAUAAAAAAACUUCAUCUGAGCUGUGAUAUGCCAAAGGUGUGGCUGUCCUGUAGUGUCUGCCCUGUUUAAGGUAUCAUCUAAAUGUACUUCUCUGUUAUAAUUAAAGUUUGUAGAUCUUAAAACUCUUAAAAAAUUUGUUGGUGUGAGUGUUGAUCACUGUUGUAGCUAGUAGAGCAGCUCUAGUGUUUGUUCCGAGUCUGGGUUAUCCCUUUUGAUCAGGAUGAUCUAGGCUUUGAGUUCACCAAUUUAUUAACUAUUUCCAUUUUUGGAAAGUUGCAGGGCUAGUGAAGAUUUUGGUCUGAUAACCCCACUGAGGUUAUCAGACCUUGGGUAAUUCUCCUGCUACUCUAUACUGCCAUUUCUUCUGUAAAGGUUGCUUCAGUUAAACAUUAACAUCCAGCAGUCAGCCUUUAGUUGGACAAGGUGAAAGAGAGACACAACCAGAACUCAUGAAAGCGGAAAAGGAAAAGCUUAGAAAGAGUGCCAGAACCUAGAGCAGAGCAUGGAAUACUUGAACUUGCUGGUGUCUGAUUUUGCCAGAGCAUUUGUCGAGUUAUUUGCCAGCCAUGAAUUCCCCACCGUUCUCAGUGAACACUCAGCAGUGAAGCUCUCUGCUGCCACCAGUUCUACCCUCUGAAGGAAAAUCUGGAAAUCUGAUACCAUCCCUCCACGAGCAGUUAUUCUAGCUUAGUUGGGAGAUAUAGGAGUGUGAUAAUGGAGUCUGCUGACAGCAAAACGUGUCUCUCACUAACACAGAAGGUGGCUGCAGUGCCCAGGAAGACCUGCAUGACUGUAAGAACUGGAACCAUACACAAGGGACAAAAUUAAUUAGUAUCAAGCACAAGUAUUCUUUGGGACUAAUACUGAGAGUUUCUGUGAAUUUGUGAGCAUACUGAUGGGAAACAGCUGUGGUGGGGACGCAGCGGUUGAUCGCAGAAUGAUUCAUGAGUCACUGGUGUGAUAUGGCUGUAGGAGAGAAGCGUACCAGGUGACACUGGCUACAGCAGCGUUGGAAAGCACUUGUGUUAUUUGAUGGGCAGGAGCGGGAGCUAUCUCAUCUGCAAUAGCUCUAGGUAUCCAAGCUCCAGAAAGAUGAUUUCAGAGUGAAACAAAUGUUAUGGAAGGACGUGUGCCAUUUCUCUGCUCUAGUCCAACCUGUCAUAAAAUCCUUGUUAAUUUAGCUGAAUAUAUGGCAUUUCAUUAUUUAAAAAAAAAAAAAAAAA